AAAUAAGGGGCUUAUUCUCAUUUAAUAUUUUUUUUACACUCUUGUAUUGAUAGUCUAACAUCCUCUCUCUUAUUAUUUCUUUUAUUUUUUAUUUUAUUUUUUUAUUGUUUUUAUUACUUUAUUUUUUAGUUCAUUGAUUUUUAUUUAUUGUUUCCCUUUUAGAAUUAGGGCCUCAGUCCUAUUUAGUUUUUCACUAUUUCACCUCUUGCAUUGAUAGUGUGUCUCCCUCCUUUUUAUUUUU
rnacentral:lncRNA from 1 species